GUCCUUGUAGCACAACAAAUAACGUGUUGGACUUCUAAUACAAAGGUCGUGGGUUCAAAUCCCACCUGGGAUG